rnacentral:tRNA from 1 species
GCCCCUCUAGCUCAAUUGGUCAGAGCGUCGGACUCUUAAUCCGCAGGUUCUGGGUUCGAGUCCCAGGGGGGGUA